AGGAUUAACGCUGGCGGCGUGCCUAACACAUGCAAGUCGAACGAGGUAGCAAUACCUAGUGGCAGACGGGUGAGUAACGCGUGGUCAACCUACCGUUGAGUGGGGGAUAACUAGCCGAAAGGUUAGCUAAUACCGCAUACGUCUCCGAGGGGCAUCCCUUGGCGAUAAAAGGAGCAAUCCGCUCGAUGACGGGACCGCGUCCCAUUAGCUAGAUGGUGGGGUAACGGCCUACCAUGGCACCGAUGGGUAGCUGGUUUGAGAGAGCGACCAGCCACACUGGGACUGAGAAACGGCCCAGACUCCUACGGGAGGCAGCAGUGAGGAAUUUUCCGCAAUGGGCGCAAGCCUGACGGAGCGACGCCGCGUGUGGGAAGAAGGCCUUCGGGUCGUAAACCGACUGUCGAAGGGGACGAUAAUGACGGUACCCUUGGAGGAAGCCCCGGCUAACUACGCGCCAGCAGCCGC
rnacentral:rRNA from 1 species